rnacentral:rRNA from 1 species
UUUUUUUAUGGAGGAAAUAAUUUAUAUUUUUUAAAGGGGAGAAAAAAGGGGAAGAAUGGGGGGGGAGGGCGAAAAAAAAUUUUCUUCCUCAAAGAUAUUUGGGCCCCAAAAUUGGGGAAAACCCCUUUUAAAACCCCCAAAAUAUUCUCGGGGGCCUCUUGGGGGGCCCCUUGGGUGAAAAAGGGUUAAAGGUUGCUUUUGGGUGAAACUUUGGGAUCGAUUUGUUUGGUGUGAAGGGUUAUACCGUUACAAGCCUGCCAAGGCGGAGGUGGGUUGCGGGUAUGAUGAGAUGAUCAGUCACACGGGAACUGGGGCUACGUCCCAGACUCAUGCAGGAGGUAGCAUUGAGGAUUUUGCACGAUGGCCGAAAGCCUGCGCAGCUGCGCGACUCGGUGUAGUGAUGAGUUAUAUGCAAAUUAAAGUCAUGGUUGUAGGAGAGAGAUGUUCGAUGUUAUACCAUCUGUUACUGACGGUACCUGACAAGAAAGGACCGGCUAACUUCGUGCCAGCAGCCGCGGUAAUACGAGGGGUCCUAGCGUUGUCCGGAUUUACUGGGCGUAAAGGGUACGUAGGCGUUUUAAUAAGUUAUAUGUUAAAUAUCUUAGCUUAACUAAGAAAGUGCAUAUAAAACUGUUAAAAUAGAGUUUGAGAGAGGAACGCAGAAUUCAUGGUGGAGCGGUGACAUGCGUAGAUAUCAUGAGGAAAGUCAAAUGCGAAGGCAGCCUUCUGGCUCAAAACUGACGCUGAGGUACGAAAGCGUGGGGAGCGAACAGGAUUAGAUACCCUGGUAGUCCACGCCGUAAACGAUGAGUAUUUGGUGCUGGGGGAUUCGACCCUUUCAGUGCCGUAGCUAACGCGAUAAAUACUCCGCCUGGGGACUACGAUCGCAAGAUUGAAACUCAAAGGAAUUGACGGGGACCCGCACAAGCGGUGGAACAUGUGGUUUAAUUCGAUGAUACGCGAAGAACCUUACCUGGGUUUGACAUGUCAGAGAAAGUUUUCCGAAAGGAAAUCCUUUUAAUAAUUUAUUAUUAAACUCUGUCGCAGGUGAUGCAUGGCUGUCGUCAGCUCGUGUCGUGAGAUGUUAGGUUAAGUCCUGCAACGAGCGCAACCCCUAUAUUUAGUUGCCAGCACAUAAUGGUGGGGACUCUAAAUAGACUGCCCGGAAUAACCGGGAGGAAGGUGGGGAUGAUGUCAAGUCAGUAUGUCCCUUAUACCCAGGGCUACACACGUGUUACAAUGGAUGGUACAAAAAGUAGCAAUUCCGCGAGGAGGAGCCAAUCUUUAAAACUAUCCCCAGUUCAGAUUGAAGUCUGAAAUUCGACUUCAUGAAGCAGGAAUCGCUAGUAAUCGUAGGUCAGCACACUANNCUGAAUCCCCC